CGCCCGUGACUGUAUAGCUAGAGUGUGUCAGAGGGGGGUAGAAUUCCACGUGUAGCAGUGAAAUGCGUAGAUAUGUGGAGGAAUACCAAUGGCGAAGGCAGCCCCCUGGGAUAACACUGACGCUCAUGCACGAAAGCGUGGGGAGCAAACAGGAUUAGAUACCCUGGUAGUCCACGCCCUAAACGAUGCUGACUAGUUGUUGGGAAUUUACAUUCUCAGUAACGUAGCUAACGCGUGAAGCCAGCCGCCUGGGGAGUACGGUCGCAAGAUUAAAACUCAAAGGAAUUGACGGGGACCCGCACAAGCGGUGGAUGAUGUGGAUUAAUUCGAUGCAACGCGAAAAACCUUACCCACCUUUGACAUGUACGGAAGUCGCUAGAGAUAGCUUCGUGCUCGAAAGAGAACCGUAACACAGGUGCUGCAUGGUUGUCGUCAGCUCGUGUCGUGAGAUGUUGGGUUAAGUCCCGCAACGAGCGCAACCCUCGUUCUGUGUUGCCAGCAUUUAGUUGGGGACUCACAGGAGACUGCCGGGGUUAACUCGGAGGAAGGUGGGGAUGACGUCAAAUCAUCAUGCCCCUUAUGUCUUGGGCUGCACGCAUGCUACAAUGGCUGGUACAAACGGCUGCAAUACCGCAAGGUGGAGCGAAUCCGAGAAAGCCAGUCUCAGUUCGGAUUG
rnacentral:rRNA from 1 species